UACGGUACCAUUGGGGUUGAAUGUGAUGUUGGAAUGUUCUAAAUAUUCUCUGAAAACGGAAAAUGUCAAUUAAUGGUCAUAAUUUUUGGGGUAAAAAUUCAACGCAAGAGGUCAAGGAGUUUUCAAAAAUUAUCCUAAUGGGAAUGGGAGGGAAUAUGACUAAUACCCGGGAUAUCAGCAAUCUACGCAGAUGGAAAGGUACACCUCUGCGUCGUGGAGGAUUCCGUCGAUAGUUACAACAGGAAAUGAAGGAGCGAUGAAGGAAUUUUUCGAAUGAAUUAAAACGUGAAAUUGUAGGGAUUUACGAGAAAUUUUUGCCCGUAGAUACCACUCUAAUAAAUAUGGAUGCAGAA